rnacentral:lncRNA from 1 species
CUGCAUUGUAGCAUAGUUAAAGACGCAUGUUAAUGAAAGAAAUCCAUAGCAUAAAAUAUACUUAAAGAGAGACAGCAGAAGAGAUGAUAGUUUCUAGUUUCUACGAGUGUGCAUUCAUUACAAAAAAGAAGAGAUCGAGAAGGGAGGCUGAGAAAAAGGAUCCAUAUUUCCCGUUUCAAUUGUUUCAUAAAAGGAAACUCUGACUCUAUUCUACAUUACUUUUACAUUGGUUCCCUCUCAGACAACUUGUUAAUGAAUACAGCACAAAUGAGUACGUAUGAUGCUCACAUAAUAACUUUCUCUGGUCCAUGAAUUGUCGAGAGUAUAAAAACUUGUUCUACAUUUAACAUCCACAGGCCUUUCUGUGUAGAAAAGAAAAAAAUCCACAGGACUUUCUAUCACUAGAGCACACCUGGAAAUGCCAUGUUGGUUUAGCUUAAUAGCAGCCCUAUAAAGGAUUUCACGACAAUUAUAUCAACUUAAAGAGAACUACGCACGUUACAACCUGUUUCUUUAUAAGCAGGACUAAGAAUAUAGGAGUUCUAUAUAUGUGUGAGUGCAUGAAAACCUAAAAGGAAAUUAAUGCUCAUGGUUAUACCUUGUUCCCAAUUACUGGAGAAUCAUCCGCAAACCAGGUAUCCUGCCUCUCGGACUGGCAGUGAGCAAAGCAUGAAUUUAGGAAUAACCCAUUUUGUCUAGAUUUGGCAAAGCCUUUUACUGCAUUCAUCAUAUGAGCCCUAAAACCUGCUUAACAACAGUUUUUAUCGAUCGAUUCAUUCUCCUUGGAUAUGAAUACAAGAUUAAGAAAUAUCAAGCAGAUACAGUCACUCACCUUGCAGAAAUUGGAUUUGGGAUGAUGAACAUCGUGCAUUGUUCAUUUUACAGUCGUGCCAAUUACCACGAGGAUCAGCUACCGAAGGAGCCAAGCUUUCUUGGACCUAAAUAAGAAAUAAAAACAGAGAUUUAAUUUACUACAUUUGUUAUUCAUAUUAUUAGCAAGUCUUUGAUUUCUUAACGAUCGAAUCUAAUCUAGUAAGAGGCCCCCAUUGAUUAGAACAGAAAAUUGCGGAACUAAGCCCACCCCAAAACGAGUGCUCUCCUAUUUGCACUUCCCCAGAGCUCUACCAAUACAGUUGUCAGUCAUAUUAUUUUACAAGUACCUAAUCUACGCGAUUGAAAGCUGUUAAACCUCUACUGUAUUUCCAAGAUAAACUGAAAUAAAUUAUUACCUGCCAUGAAUCAUAAGCAGCAUUGAGAAUGAACAGAGGGGUUCUGACGUUGGCAAUUAAAUUCUGAGGGAAGAAGCACUAUACACAAAAAAAAGAUAUGAAAUCGUAAAUGGCUAAUUGCUAAACUAGAAAAACAUAGUAAGAAUUUCAUUAUCUUCUCAACCAAAAACAACAAAAAAAUAGUCUCACCGAAGUUGGAUCCAGAUGAUUGGUACAAGUGCUUGGCAGAUUCCUCUGGACACCCUAUUAAAAUUUGUGGGAACUUGAAGCAUUAAUUUGAGGUGUCAUGUCUAGUACAAAUUGUUUCAAAUUUCAAACAUGUUGAGGGGCGCUGUUGGAAACUUGCUGGAUAAAAGUGUGAUUUUAAAAGGAGAAAAAAACUACAUCCUAUUGCGACAAACUUCAGCGUUUAGAAAAGGAAAUGUUCAAGUGGGAUAGAUAUAAGGACUGGAAAAGAGAGCACUAUCAGUGACCCUCUCACAUUGUUUAGCCAAAGGUUUUAUGCUCUGUUGAAUUCCAAAAACUGUUAUUUUUCCUAUUCAUAUCACCUUUGGUCCAAAACCACAACCGACCCUUAGUUUACUUUUGUCCAUUCCGCUUAUUUUCCUAGGAAUUCCAAAUUCUUCAGUUAAUUCUUUGGUUCAAUGCAUAAUAAUUAAUUUUUGGACUCUUUAUCAAAAAGUAUAAUUACCCAAACUGUCUCUAGUUUGUUGUGUUCUUCUCAAACUGCAAAAACACACAUCAAAAUGAACUUGCAUCGCCCAUCGACUGUUUCUCUCUUUUAUCCAUCCUAUAUUUUCUAUUCCACAAAUUGCCUACUUGAGCAUAACCUUUUGCAUGUUGGACGCAACCAAGAAUAUAGGAGUUCUAUAUUUGUGUGUGUGCAUGAAAACCUAAAAGGAAAUUCAUACUCAUGGUUAUACCUUGUUCCCAAUUACUGGAGAAUCAUCCGCAAACCAGGUAUCCUGCCUCUCGGACUGGCAGUGAGCAAAGCAUGAAUUUAGGAAUAGCCCAUUUUGUCUAGAUUUCGCAAAGCCUUUUACUGCAUUCAUCAUAUGAGCCCUAAAACCUGCUCAACAACAGUUUUUAUUGAUCGAUUCAUUCUCCUUGGAUAUGAAAACAAGAUUAAGAAAUAUCAAGCAGAUACAGUCACUCACCUUGCAGAAAUUGGAUUUGGGAUGCUGAACAUCGUGCAUUGUUCAUUUUACAGUCGUGCCAAUUACCACGAGGAUCAGCUAUCGGAGGAGCCAAGCUUUCUUGGACCUAA